GGGGGCGUAGCUCAGUUGGAUAGAGCAUCAGCCUUCUAAGCUGAGGGUCACAGGUUCGAUUCCUGUCGCCCCUACCA
rnacentral:tRNA from 1 species